rnacentral:rRNA from 1 species
UACGUAGGGUGCGAGCGUUGUCCGGAAUUAUUGGGCGUAAAGAGCUUGUAGGCGGUUUGUCGCGUCUGCCGUGAAAGUCCGGGGCUCAACCCCGGAUCUGCGGUGGGUACGGGCAGACUAGAGUUGAUGUAGGGGGAGACUGGAAAUUCCCUGGUGUAGCGGUGAAAUGCGCAGAUAUCAGGAGGAACACCGAUGGCGAAGGCAGGUCUCUGGGCAUUAACUGACGCUGAGGAGCGAAAGCAUGGGGAGCGAACAGG